GAGCGGUAGAGAGGUGCUUGCACCUCUUGAGAGCGGCGGACGGGUGAGUAAUGCCUAGGAAUCUGCCUGGUAGUGGGGGAUAACGCUCGGAAACGGACGCUAAUACCGCAUACGUCCUACGGGAGAAAGCAGGGGACCUUCGGGCCUUGCGCUAUCAGAUGAGCCUAGGUCGGAUUAGCUAGUUGGUGGGGUAAUGGCUCACCAAGGCGACGAUCCGUAACUGGUCUGAGAGGAUGAUCAGUCACACUGGAACUGAGACACGGUCCAGACUCCUACGGGAGGCAGCAGUGGGGAAUAUUGGACAAUGGGCGAAAGCCUGAUCCAGCCAUGCCGCGUGUGUGAAGAAGGUCUUCGGAUUGUAAAGCACUUUAAGUUGGGAGGAAGGGCAUUAACCUAAUACGUUAGUGUUUUGACGUUACCGACAGAAUAAGCACCGGCUAACUCUGUG
rnacentral:rRNA from 1 species